rnacentral:rRNA from 1 species
GAUGAACGCUGGCGGCGUGCCUAAUACAUGCAAGUCGAGCGAACGGACGAGAAGCUUGCUUUUCUGAUGUUAGCGGCAGACGGGUGAGUAACACGUGGAUAACCUACCUAUAAGACUGGGAUAACUUCGGGAAACCGGAGCUAAUCCCGGAUAAUAUUUUGAACCGCAUGGUUCAAAAGUGAAAGACGGUCUUGCUGUCACUUAUAGAUGGAUCCGCGCUGCAUUAGCUAGUUGGUACGGUAACGGCUUACCAAGGCAACGCUGCAUAGCCGACCUGCGAGGGUGAUCGGCCACACGAGAACUGAGACACGGUCCAGACUACUACGGGAGGCAGCAGUAGGGAAUCGUCCGCAAUGGGCGAAAGCCUGACGGAGCAACGCCGCGUGAGUGAUGAAGGUCUUCGGAUCGUAAAACUCGGUUAUUAGGGAAGAACAGAUGUGUAAGGAACUGUGCACAUCUUGACGGUACCUAAUCAGAAAGCCACGGCUAACUACGUG